GUGGGGAAUCUUCCGCAAUGGACGAAAGUCUGACGGAGCAACGCCGCGUGAGUGAAGAAGGUUUUCGGAUCGUAAAGCUCUUUCGUUAGGGACGAACGUGCUCUUUGUGAAUAAUGAGGAGUAAUGACGGUACCUAAAUAAGAAGCCACGGCUAACUACGUGCCAGCAGCCGCGGUAAUACGUAGGUGGCAAGCGUUGUCCGGAAUUAUUGGGCGUAAAGCGCGCGCAGGCGGGAUAUCAAGUCUGUCUUAAAAGUGCGAGGCUCAACCUCGUGAGGGGACAGAAACUGGUAUUCUUGAGUGUCGGAGAGGAAAGUGGAAUUCCAAGUGUAGCGGUGAAAUGCGUAGAGAUUUGGAAGAACACCAGUGGCGAAGGCGACUUUCUGGACGAUGUCCGACGCUGAGGCGCGAAAGCUAGGGGAGCGAACGGGAUUAGAAACCCGGGUAGUCC
rnacentral:rRNA from 1 species